rnacentral:rRNA from 1 species
AACCUGGUUGAUCCUGCCAGUAGUCAUAUGCUUGUCUCAAAGACUAAGCCAUGCAUGUCUAAGUAUAAAUGGUAUACAGUAAAACUGCGAAUGGCUCAUUAAAACAGUUAUAGUUUAUUUGGUAAUCGAAUUUACAUGGAUAACCGUGGUAAUUCUAGAGCUAAUACAUGCUGUAAAGCCCGACUUCUCGGAAGGGCCGUGUUUAUUAGAUAACAGACCAACAGCUUCGGCUAUUGUGGUGAAUCAUAGUAACUAAUCGGAUCGCAUGGGCUAGUCCCGCGACAAACCAUUCAAGUUUCUGCCCCAUCAGCUUUCGACGGUAGUGCAUUGGACUACCGUGGCUUUUACGGGUAACGGAGGAUUAGGGUUCGAUUCCGGAGAGGGAGCCUGAGAAACGGCUACCACAUCUGAGGAAGGCAGUAGGCGCGUAAAUUACCCAAUUCUGAUUCAGAGAGGUAGUGACAAGAAAUAACGGGUCGGGACUUUGUCCCGGGACUGCAAUGAGAUGAACUUAUACCCCUUUUCGAGUAACAAUUGGAGGGCAAGUCUGGUGCCAGCAGUCGCGGUAAUUCCAGCUCCAAUAGCGUAUAUUAAAGUUGU